GCAUGGAUGAACACUGUAUACUUCAGUCAGUAAUUUAUACAGCCAGACACCAUGUCAGCACUCAGGAGGCAGAGGCAGGCAGAUCUUGGUGAGUUCCAGGCCAGCCUGGUCUACAGAG